GGAGCCUCGGCUUCAGAGCAGGCUUGGCAGCGUCAGGAGGAGGAGCCUCGGCGUGAGACCUGGGCUUGGCGGCUGGAGGUUAAAAGCAAAGAAAGUUGAACCACAAACCAGGGGGCUACCCUACCCCUAAGAAAAAAUAAUCAUUACGAAUUUGUCCAAGAGCCAAAGGAUUAUAAGAGGACGCGCAUGUUGGGGGCGAAGAUACUGACCUUGAGUAAUUGCUGCCACCCCGGCCCAACCACAAGAUGUCUAAACUCAGUUGUUUUUGAGUUUUCCUUCUUUAACACUAUUGCCUCUGCUGCUAAUGUCUUGGGACAUCGCUUCUCUUGGCACAUGAACUAUACUAUGAUGCUACUGGGACCUUUGUCACAACUAUCCCAAAAGGCAGCAUCUCCUGGCAUGAAUACUGCUGCUUAAUUUUCAAAAAUUUUCUGAGGAUCUGCAGAAUAUCUCUGUGCCCCCCCUGGAGACAAAGGAGUAUCGGGAGGCUUUCUCUUCUCUGCCUAAACACACCACGCAGGCGUUCCUGAUCGCUGCAGCUGCUCAUGUUGGUGCUGGGUCCUCUGAAAGGUAGGAGCCUCAGAGCACACACCUUUGCUGUUAUUGUCAUAGAUUCCAUGGUUUCCUCUUCCCUGCACCAGGCAAGGGAGCAAAAGUGCCCUGGCAACCUCUGUAGUCCAGAUCCAUAUCCACUAAAUUCUUUCCUCUCCCAUCCCAGAAAAACUUGUUAUUUUCUUUGUUUUGUCGUGGAACUCUGUCCUUACAUCAUACCCUGUAUCCUUCUAUAGUCUCUGACAUACACCAAGAGCUUGAUAUUCUUAGACUUCCUAAAUGUGGCUCUUGAUAUUUAAAAGGAAACGUGGUAAAUGGGUGAUGGGUAUUAAGGAGGGCACUCGUGAUGAGCACUGGGUGUUGUAUAGAAGUGAUAAUUCACUAAAUUCUACAUCUGCAACUAAUAUUACACUGUAUGUUAGCUAACUGAAAUUUAAAUAAGAACUCGGGAAAAAUGAAAGGAAACUUAGGAUUUAGAAAACUCCAUUUUCUCUCAAGUGCUUGGCUCUUGGAAUUGAAAGCCUAGUUUUCAAGACUAGUGUUUCAUAUCUGUUCCCUUUUAAAGUUUGUUUUGAAAGUCAAAGCUGAGUUACGGUGUAUGUGUUAUUGAUGUUUAUUUCCCCAAGGGAAGCAUAUACAGAAAACUGUUGACAUUGUUUGACCAAUAAGCUUAAGGAUAAGGGUAAAGUUACAAAAAAUUAUACAGCUUACUAGCAAAUUAUUAUCAUACCUAUAUAUAGAUAUCAUGACCCAUAUAUAGGUAUAUUAGCGUGCUCAGCCUGCCACAACAAAAUACCACAGACUGAGUGGCUUACGCAACAAAAAUGUUCUUAUAAUUCUGGAAGCUAGAAGUCCAAGAUCAAGGUGCCAUCAGGGUUCCUCUGAUAAGGCUUCUCUCUCUGGCUUGUAGAAGGCCACUGUCUGGUUAUGUUCUCACGUAGCCUUUUUUUUUGUGCAUACACAGAGAGAUAGAGGGAGCCCUCUGGUGUCUCUUCCUUAUCCUUGUUUCCUCAAUUAAUCUUAAUUAUUUCCUUAGUCUCCCUAUCUUCAAAUACAGCCACAUUGAGGGUUAGAACUUCAAUAUAUGCAUUUUGGAAGGGACAUAUAAUUCAAUCCAUACAGUGAGUAAUAAAUUACUUAAAUUAAUUGUUCCCAAAUAAUUUGUGAUGAAUCAAUCAUUCUUAUCUUUCUUCUAAAGAGGAAAACUUCUAACCCAGUGCAGUGAUUUAAGGAUACCUGGAGGUGUCCCUAGCAUACUUUUUAAAAAUGGCUUAGCAGGUUCCUCCCAUUCAAGGACUCGAAGUCAUUAGGGAAAGAAGCAGGAGAGGAGAUUAAAGGAGAAGCAAGUAAUUUGGCUCAUCUUCUCUCUGAGUCCUAGCAUGAAUGGAGAAAGAAGCUACUUCUGAAUGAAUGAAUAGUAAUGCAAGUGACAGUGAUAGUGUAAAAGUUAGAUUCAAGGCUAAACUAUUUUAAUAAUCAAGGGGUAAGAAAUGAUAAUUAUGUGACACGAUAAGAGGUGUUAAGACUACCAUGACAAUCAUAUUGCAGUAAUAUAAGUGUAUCAGUUCAACAUGUUGCAACCUUAAACUUACACAAUGUUAAAUGUCAAAUAUAUUUCAAUUCACAAAGUAAAUAAAACGUAUGGACUUAAAAAAAGUAACCAAGAGGCCUCAAAAUAGAAUGACUUUUAAAAAUUUUUAUUUUUUUUUCCCCCAAAAGUGUCUACUCAUAAUUUAACAUACUGCAGCCCAUGGGCCAAAUCUGGCCCACUUCCUGUUUCUGCAUGACCUGCAAGUAAAAAAUGAUUUUUAUAUUUUUAAAGUGUUGAAAAAAAAUCAAAAGAGUAAUAUUUGUGACACGUGAAAAUUAUAUGAAAUUCAAAUUGUAGUGUUCACACAAAUAAAGUUCUGUUGGAACACAGCCACCCUCAGGCAUUGAUGUAUUAUCUAUGGCAGGGCUGAGUAGUUGUGACAGAGACUGAAAGGACCCAUGAAGCCUGAAGUGUUUACUUUGUGACCCUUAAUGGGAACCAUUUAAUGAUCUUUGGUGUAACCAGUUCAGGCUAGUAAAGCAGCCAUACCGCCUGAAUCCUCCAGGGACCCUGCUCAGAGGAGCAUCACCAAGGUCAAUACAGGGGCAAACCUUGCUCUGGGCUUGUCCAGCUGGCAAGAAGUGUGAACGUGGUGCAGUUACUUUUAUUUAUUCAUCGCUGUGAAUUUUGCUGAUUGGCCUCUCCAAACUGCAGGAGACAGAGAUAAAGGUAGUCAGUAGCCGGCAAGCCAUGUGCUCUGUCGAAACUCUAUUUCUAAUGGAAAAUAAAACCAAACCUCAGCUCUUUAUAUUGACUCUCUAGUGCAUCUUUAUUCUCAAUUCUGACCCUGACCUUCUACCUCCAUACAUUGAAUUUUUAUUCUCACAAAGGAUGGGAUAAAAAGAGACAUAUAAUUUAAAAUACAAAAAUGUGAUUUAGUUGUUUAUUUCUAAACAUUAUGGUGUCUCUAAAGUACUCUUAUGAGGUAAACUGAGAAAAAUAAUCUUAUAAUUUGCUUUCAGAGCCUUAAGAAGCUAGUUCUAAAAAUGACAUUUUCUUUGUUUUGAUACUAUUAACUGAUACUUCAAGGGUUUUCAUCAAUCCAGAACUUUCUCCCCUCCCACAAUUGCUUCCAUGCAACUCUUCAAUAUGUGUUCACUCUAUAGAAAGACACCCGAAGAUUAUUAAAGUAAAACUAUUUUAAUGAGUUUAUGCUUCCAUAGGAUUAUGAGGAUAAGAACUGAGUUCAUUGUCUUAUUCCACCUCCAAGUCUGGCUUUAGGUGAUACUGGACUGGAAAUACUAAUCAUCUUAUUUUUUCUUGAUAAUUCUCAUUAGUUAUGCUUUAGUCCAACAUGCGUUUAAUUUGAUUUAAUAAAGACACUAAAUAGAAUAGUACAUCAGAGAGUUGCACUCCCUUGUUACUGAUCCAUACAAAACCAAAAUAAAUGAGAGCACAUCUACCAUUAAAAUAAGCCCUAUAGCUAUAAGUCAAGGUUAAAUUAUUACUAAUUUAUAUUUUAUAUUUCCUAGAUUUGCGUAGAAAAAGAUUAAUCAUCUUCCUGUAGGGGUAGGAAACGUUUCCCUUCUUCCCUUCUAGGUUCUUUGCCUGGGCUAAUAACUGACAAAAGAUAGAUUAACAGGAGAAAAGGAGUUUAAUUUCGCACAUGUGGGUGCCCCAUAAAAAAAUAUAACACUCAAAGAUGUGACCAAAGCAGGCAGCUUUUACAUCUUUUGAAUAAAGAAACAAUUUGUAAAGAAUUGACAAGACAAAGCAAUUUGGGCUUUGAGGCAGUAAAUUAGUGAAGAAGUAACAAGAUUUGUUUACACAGGCUUCUCCACCUUAAAUUCCCUGUCUUUGGUGAUAAGAAUGCCUCUACCUCUGGUACAGGGAGGGUACCUUUCACAUUGGAGAUGUAUUUCCUGCUUUCAGGGCUCUGAAGGAGGGCCACAAUGUCCUUGUACCUACUGUGUCUCAAGUAACUAACUCAGAAUAAUCUGUAAACCAAAGGCAUAUUUUCGGGGAGCAUUUUCUGCUGGCUUCCAUUGUUCUACAUAAGUAUUAGCUUUCGCUACUUUAUGAUUCUUGCUUCUGUCGUCUGGUGUAAGAAUCUGGGAUUCAUAUCCUUCAGUGUAUAAAGCUGAGAGUCCACAUGGGUUUUUUUGCAGCAACUAAGGAAUGAUAUCCAGUAACUCUCUUGCAGCGGAAAAAACAACUAUAUUGUUAAUUAUUUUAAAUGCAGUACUCCAAAAUAUGCUUCUCCAUGAUCAAAAUUAUCUGAAACAACAAAACUUGGAAAACAAAAAUAACAGAACUGUUAAAUGUUAACGCAAGGGGUGUUUUAGAGAUUAUCUACUCUGAGAUUUGGCAAAGUGCAGCUUGCAGGUGAAAUCCAGCCUUGACCAUUUGUUUACAGAUUGUCUGUGGCUGCUUUUUCAGUAACAACAGAGUUGAGUAGUAGCAAUGAAGACGAAGACCGUAUGAUCUGUAAAGCUGAAAAUACUUACUACCUGGACGUUUGCAGGCAAUGUUUGCCAACCAGUAAUCGGGUCCAGCUCCUCUCAUUGUGUGGCUACUGAGGUCAGGCGAGGUUAAGAGUACAAAAAAGGCAGCAGAUCCCACAUCUCUUGUCUCACAAGCACGAGCCUCAAAAGAUGAAAGAUUAAGGUGAAACUCCUUUCAUAUUAAUUCAAUAACAGUCUAAAUUCUUGUCUUCUCAGACCAAUUACUCGCUGCCCCUGAAAAUGUAUGUCUUGCACUUUUAUGAUUAUGCCACUGUUCAUACCUUCCAUCUAUUUAGAAUGUCAUUUCGCCCUUCCUUUCUGUCUGGAAAACUCCUACUUAUUCUGUAAGGCCCAAUUAAAUGUCAUAUCAUCUCACUAGCUUCCCUUGAUCUCCCUAAGCAGAAAUAGGGGCUGUCAUUUAUAUUCUUACAGCAAUUUAUGUGUACCAUUUAAAAACUAUAAUAUGUCAAAUUGACACACUCAAGGAAGAGUGAGUAAUGCCACAGAACUGUACAGCUAUAAAUGGUUAAGAUGGAAAGUUUUAUGUCAUGUAUAUUUUACCACUAUAACAAAAGGGGGGGGGGGAAAAAGAAAGAGUGAGCCUUGCUCAGGUAUCAUUCUGGGAUUCUGGUAUGCACGUUGUGGGACCCAGCAUUAGUAGUAAAUAUCAUUAGUGUCUACCUUGUUCAAGACUUUUUUUUCUGUAGCCUGAAUGCCAAAUGCUGAGUAUAUUCUUCCAUAUAUAAAUAUAUAUGUAUAUGUGUAUAUAUACAUAUAUAUAUAGAGAGAGAGAAUGUAAAAUUGUUCUGUUCUAGCAUUAACCACCAUCCACUCUUUAGCAAGAAUAAGCUACUUAAGAUAUCUAUUUGUGAAAGCUCAUUCUCAAUCUUUACCUUCCAUCCAUCCAUGUUAUCACUGAUCUUUAUUUGCAUCCUAUGCUAGACGGAUCCCCUCUCUAAAGAAUAUCUGUUGAGGUAGGAAUGACUGGCUUCCUAGUUGAAGGAUUAUACAACAGUCAUAGACUCCUCAUUCUCUCUCUCAGAAGUUGGCAGUUCACAUUUAGAAUAAAGAGGUGACUGUUUUAAUUAUAAGGGAAACCGUCCUGGUUAUUUCUGUCCUCACUGGUAGUGGUACAAGUUUGAACAAGUACAAAAGUAUAAUUCUUCUGCAUUUCUGUAAAUGCCUCCUGCUGACCCAGAAUGAAUAUUUG